rnacentral:rRNA from 1 species
GACGAACGCUGGCGGCGUGCUUAACACAUGCAAGUCGAACGGUGAAGGUGGAGCUUGCUCCGCCGGAUCAGUGGCGAACGGGUGAGUAACACGUGGGCAACCUGCCCCAGACUCUGGGAUAACUCCUCGAAAGAGGCGCUUAUACCGGAUACGAGUUCUGUAGGCAUCCACGGAACUGGAAAGUUUUGCGGGCUGGGAUGGGCCCGCGGCCUAUCAGCUUGUUGAUGAUGUAACGGCUCACCAAGGCGACGACGGGUAGCCGGCCUGAGAGGGCGACCGGCCACAAUGGGACUGAGACACGGCCCAGGCUCCUACGGGAGGCAGCAGUGGGGAAUAUUGCGCAAUGGGCGAAAGCCUGACGCAGCAACGCCGCGUGCGGGAUGAAGGCAUUCGGGUUGUAAACCGCUUUCAGCAGGGAAGAAGCGAAAGUGACGGUACCUGCAGAAGAAGCACCGGCUAACUACUUGCCAGCCGCCGCAGUAA